rnacentral:rRNA from 1 species
CUUGGUCAUUUAGAGGAAGUAAAAGUCGUAACAAGGUCUCCGUAGGUGAACCAGCGGAGGGAUCAUUACCGAGUUUACAACUCCCAAACCCCUGUGAACAUACCUAUACGUUGCCUCGGCGGAUCAGCCCGCGCCCCGUAAAACGGGACGGCCCGCCCGAGGACCCCUAAACUCUGUUUUUGGUGGAACUUCUGAGUAUAACAAACAAAUAAAUCAAAACUUUCAGCAACGGAUCUCUUGGUUCUGGCAUCGAUGAAGAACGCAGCAAAAUGCGAUAAGUAAUGUGAAUUGCAGAAUUCAGUGAAUCAUCGAAUCUUUGAACGCACAUUGCGCCCGCCAGUAUUCUGGCGGGCAUGCCUGUUCGAGCGUCAUUUCAACCCUCAAGCUCAGCUUGGUGUUGGGACUCGCGGUAACCCGCGUUCCCCAAAUCGAUUGGCGGUCACGUCGAGCUUCCAUAGCGUAGUAAUCAUACACCUCGUUACUGGUAAUCGUCGCGGCCACGCCGUUAAACCCCAACUUCUGAAUGUUGACCUCGGAUCAGGUAGGAAUACCCGCUGAACUUAAGCAUAUCAAUAAGCGGAGGA